rnacentral:lncRNA from 1 species
AAAUGUUUCUUGGACCUUGGUUUCACAAUGAAUCAAAAUGGGGCUGAUUUCGUGGUGCAAAGUGUUUGAAAAGGAAAAGAAAGCAAAAGGACAGAUUUGCUUUAAGAAUUUUCUAAACUUUGGUAGUUUUGUUAACUAUCUUUCCGUACGAUUUUUUAUGUGAAAUUUGAUAGAGAAGUAGUUCUCAUAUGAAAGUUGAAUUAUACCAAAUUUGUAUUAUUCUAAGACCAUUUUGAUACCCAAAUGCUGUGCCAAAGUUGUUCUUCAAAUCUAGAAAAUUGACCGUACUGUCUUCAAUUUUGGCCAACUUUGAACUGCUAUAUCUUGAUGCUUAAAACUCCGAAUCUAGUUCUGUUUAUUGUGUUUAAAACCUUGAUUGAAAUUCUUAUUGUGUUACAAAUUUCAAAGGUUAGUUCACUUUCUGUGAAUUUUGCCGAAUUUCUAAAAUUUGCCAAAAAACAUGACUGAAACUGCCUUGUUUACUAGAUCGGCCAUUUUGAGCUGAAAAAUGAUUGUCUUCCGUUUAGAAUCUUGAAAAGGUGUCUUCUAGGAACUUUUAGUAUUUUGGACCAAGAUUCCAACGGUAUAAAAUUUUCCAAUUUUGGACAUAUUGAGUGCAAGUUCUGAUUUUUCUAAAUUUGACAUGCAAAACUGAAAUUUUCUGACUCGAUGGGAAAUGAGUUUUUGGAAACUUUUCCGUAUCCUUUGAUAAUGAUUGAUUGUUUUAAACUUGAUUUCAUGGAGAAAAUCAGUUUUUCUUGUAUUAAUAAAUCAUCACUUUUGAACCUUUAUUUUGAGUGGUUAAGGUUCUUUGUUUGGGGUAUCGACUAGUCUAAAUGAGUAUACCUUCUUUCUUGAAUAAUACGUGAUUGUGAGUGAGAAAUACUUGUUAAUUGUUUAGUCGCUCAAGGAGAUUUCGAAGGGAAUCUCGGUGCGGACACUUAAAGCUUGGUUUACUCACUUAUUUUGAAUUAGUAAGUACCAAGUGCAUAUUAAAUGCUUAUGUGAUUGAAAUGUGAUUUGUACAAGUGUUGUACAUGAUACGUAGACUUGUCGAGACGCGUGUGUAUUUUAUCGCACUCGUUCUCCUUUAUUUGACUUAUACGUGUAUUAUACGUGAAUAUGACUUGUAUGUCGAUCGGAGUAAAUCUCGUUGACUAUUAUACGUAUACUCGUGGGGGACGCCCAAAUCUCAUUGGCCAAUCUUGCGACUUGAGCCGGCAUGGGUUUAGUCGAGAAGAUUGAUGAAUCAUGAGAAUAUUAUAAAACACAACUUGAUCUUUUGAGAUCUUGUUCGGCAUACUAGUAGAGUAUCGCCCUUUUCGUGCGUGUUUUUAAAAACAAAACUUGAUCAUUUGAGAUCUUGUUCGACAUACUAGUGUAGUAUCGUCCUUUUCGUGUGUGUUUGGUUACGAAUCCGAGAGGGUGAAAUGAUGGAUAAAGGAAGUAGUAAGUGAAGUUUCUACGUAUUUAAUACCUAUCCGGAUGACGGAGUGUCAUCACAAGGGGGUAUCGGAUCGAACCUUGGCGAAACAAGUGGAAAUUUGCUCCUGAGAGCUCCGU